CAUUUAUUAUAGGUGUGUUCCAAGCAUGUGACGACUUUCAUGACCCUGUUUCAUCAUCAAGUAUUGAAGUUCAUCUUGCGUCAGAUCUAAACAAAUCACAACACCAUGUUUGGGUGUUUUCUUUUUUAUAUUAUACUCGGCCGAGUGCCCAUCUUCCAGUGUCCAUCACACUUUUAGUCUGGUGAUCACGUCACCUUGAAACCCUUGUAAGCUUAGAACUGAAAAGUUUUGCUGCUUACGCACAGCAGACAAAAAAAGGUAGGCAGCAUUUUAACUUCCAACUGUCUAAGCGUGGAUGUCAAGCAUAAACCCUGGGAAGAUUUGCCCACUGCUUAACUACAUGCUUUUUUUUUUUCA